rnacentral:rRNA from 1 species
UACGGAGGGGGCUAGCGUUGUUCGGAAUUACUGGGCGUAAAGCGCGCGUAGGCGGCGAUAUAAGUCAGAGGCGAAAGCCUGGAGCUCAACUCCAGAACUGCCUUUGAAACUAUAUUGCUAGAGUGUUGGAGGGGAUAGCGGAAUUGCUAAUGUAGAGGUGAAAUUCGUAGAUAUUAGCAGGAACACCGGUGGCGAAGGCGGCUAUCUGGACAACAACUGACGCUGAGGCGCGAAAGCGUGGGGAGCAAAAGGG